GCAUAUCAAUAAGCGGAGGAAAAGAAACCUACGGCAUCCCCUAGUAACGGCGAGUGAACCGGGAAGAGCUCAAAUUUGAAAUCUGGCAGUCUUCGAUUGUCCGAGUUGUAAUCUAUAGAAGCGUUUUCCGUGCUGAACUGUGUAUAAGUCCCUUGGAACAGGGUAUCAAAGAGGGUGACAAUCCCGUACUUUACACAAUCAUCAGUGCUCUGUGAUACGUUCUCUACGAGUCGAGUUGUUUGGGAAUGCAGCUCAAAAUGGGUGGUAAAUUCCAUCUAAAGCUAAAUAUUGGCGAGAGACCGAUAGCGAACAAGUACCGUGAGGGAAAGAUGAAAAGCACUUUGGAAAGAGAGUUAAACAGUACGUGAAAUUGUUGAAAGGGAAACGAACGCUACGUAUCAUGUUUAUUGGACUCAGCCGAUCUUCGGUGUACUUCCUUUAAACGGGUCAACAUCAGUUUUGUCCGAUGGAUAAAGGUAGUAGGAAGGUGGCUCUCUCGGGAGUGUUAUAGCCUAUUGCCGCAUACAUUGGAUGAGACUGAGGACUGCAGCUUGCCUUUAUGGCCGGGGUUCGCCCACGUUCAAGCUUAGGAUGUUGACAUAUACUCGAGCGCACGCCCCGUCUUGAAACACGGACC
rnacentral:rRNA from 1 species